rnacentral:rRNA from 1 species
CAAUAGCGUAUAUUUAAGUUGCUGCAGUUAAAAAGCUCGUAGUUGGAUUUCGGGUGGGAAUGGCCGGUCCGCCGUUUCGGUGUGCACUUGCUACGCCCACCUUGCUGCCGGGGACGUGCUCUUGAGUUCACGCUCGGGACACGGAGUCGGCGAGGUUACUUUGAGCAAAUUAGAGUGUUCAAAGCAGGCCUACGCUCUGAAUACAUUAGCAUGGAAUAACACGAUAGGACUCUGGCCUAUCUUGUUGGUCUGUAGGACCGGAGUAAUGAUUAAGAGGGACAGUCGGGGGCAUUCGUAUUUCAUUGUCAGAGGUGAAAUUCUUGGAUUUAUGAAAGACGAACUACUGCGAAAGCAUUUAUCAAGGAUGUUUUCAUUAA